rnacentral:rRNA from 1 species
CCUACGGGUGGCAGCAGUGGGGAAUAUUGGGCAAUGGGCGCAAGCCUGACCCAGCAACGCCGCGUGAAGGAAGAAGGCUUUCGGGUUGUAAACUUCUUUUGACAGGGAAGAGUAGAAGACGGUACCUGUCGAAUAAGCCACGGCUAACUACGUGCCAGCAGCCGCGGUAAUACGUAGGUGGCAAGCGUUGUCCGGAUUUAUUGGGUUUAAAGGGUGCGUAGGCGGUCCGGAAAGUCAGCGGUAAAAGCCCGGGGCUCAACCCCGGCGAGCCGUUGAAACUGUCGGACUAGAGACGGCGAGAAGUACGCGGAAGGCGCGGUGUAGCGGUGAAAUGCAUAGAUAUCGCGCAGAACUCCGAUUGCGAAGGCAGCGUACCGGCGCCGGACUGACGCUGAGGCACGAAAGCGUGGGUAUCGAACAGGAUUAGAUACCCUUGUAGUC